GAUGAACGCUGGCGGCGUGCCUAAUACAUGCAAGACGAGCGAACAGACGAGGAGCUUGCUCCUCUGACGUUAGCGGUGGACGGGUGAGUAACACGUGGAUAACCUACCUAUAAGACUGGGAUAACUUCGGGAAACCGGAGCUAAUACCGGAUAAUAUAUUGAACCGCAUGGUUCAAUAGUGAAAGACGGUUUUGCUGUCACUUAUAGAUGGAUCCGCGCCGCAUUAGCUAGUUGGUAAGGUAACGGCUUACCAAGGCAACGAUGCGUAGCCGACCUGAGAGGGUGAUCGGCCACACUGGAACUGAGACACGGUCCAGACUCCUACGGGAGGCAGCAGUAGGGAAUCUUCCGCAAUGGGCGAAAGCCUGACGGAGCAACGCCGCGUGAGUGAUGAAGGUCUUCGGAUCGUAAAACUCUGUUAUUAGGGAAGAACAAAUGUGUAAGUAACUAUGCACGUCUUGACGGUACCUAAUCAGAAAGCCACGGCUAACUACGUG
rnacentral:rRNA from 1 species